rnacentral:rRNA from 1 species
CUCUAGCGAGACUGCCGGUAAUAAACCGGAGGAAGGUGGGGAGUGACGUCAAAUCAUCAUGCCCCUUAUGACCUGGGCUACACACGUGCUACAAUGGUUGGUACAACGAGUUGCGAGUCGGUGACGGCGAGCUAAUCUCUUAAAGCCAAUCUCAGUUCGGAUUGUAGGCUGCAACUCGCCUACAUGAAGUCGGAAUCGCUAGUAAUCGCGGAUCAGCACGCCGCGGUGAAUACGUUCCCGGGCCUU